rnacentral:rRNA from 1 species
CACGUAGGGACCAAGCGUUGUCCGGAUUUAUUGGGCGUAAAGCGCUCGUAGGCGGUUCGGUAAGUCGGGUGUGAAACCUCCAGGCUCAACCUGGUGACGCCACCCGAUACUGCCGUGACUUGAGUUCGGUAGGGGAGCGGGGAAUUCCUGGUGUAGCGGUGAAAUGCGCAGAUAUCAGGAGGAACACCGGUGGCGAAGGCGGCGUUCUGGACUGCUACUGACACUGAUGAACGAAAGCCAGGGGAGCAAACGGG